CGGGGCGUAGCGGAGCCUGGUAGCGCACCACAAUGGGGUUGUGGGGGUCGGAAGUUCGAAUCUUCUCGCCCCGACCA
rnacentral:tRNA from 1 species